ACGACCUUACUUGAACAGGAUCUGUUCUAUAGGCUCGUACCUCUGUAUCCUUGAUUUCUAAGGAGACAGGAAACUAUGUCUGGUGGAAACCCGAAACCCGAAAACUCGAAUGCUCAGGCCAGCUGACGCAGUAGAGGAUCAUUCUUGGUUAGCUUCGGCUGGCUGGGGUGGUCGAGCAGCUGUCUGACAGACU
rnacentral:snoRNA from 1 species